ensembl:lncRNA
CUGUAACUUAUGCAUAAGUACUCCUCCAUGCAUCAUAAAUUCUGUUGACCAUGAUAUGCCAAAAAUAAGUUUUUUUAAAAAACAAAGUCCGUGAAUGUUUUUGGCUCUUGCAUUUUCACGCUGAUGUAUCUCUAUAUGUGCUUUAAGGUUAACUCUUUUUGCUUGGGAUUGUUUGGACAAGUGCUUUGUUGGAUUGAAACUCUACCAUUUAUUGAAGAGGAUUUUUCAAGGAAAAGGCAAUGAAGACCACUUCCAAACCAUUCAUCACAGAGCUUUUGCAUGGGCUUCAUAUGCUGCCGUUGUCACUCUGGAAUUGCUGGAUCAGCUUGAAAAAAAUGAAGCGUGUAGAGGUCCUCGUAACAGACAGAAAAGGAGGGGUUUGUGGGAUGAGGCGCAGGCAUGAAAGACACUGGUGGGAGACAAAAACGACAACUGGAUUACAGCUGCCUGCUGGGCAAAUUGCUGGCUGAAAGGACGUCGCUGCAUAUACAGAUGCCUCAGCAUCUACAGUCGCUGUAUGAAGGCUGCUUACCCCAGCUUCCGUUCUGCACAGCUACAAAGGGAGCAGAAUGGCAAAAGGAGCACAGUCCCAUGCUCCCAAACACACCUCCUAAACACCCAUGGGCAGCAGCGCCAGGGAGCAUCAAGUUGUUCCCAGGAAGCAGUCAUGGCUCUGGGUUGUUAGUGACUGCUGCACGUUGGCUUGGUGGUCAUUUGGCAUUGGCGGCCCAUGGCACUGAGUGCCACAGCACUGCGCAGCUGAGUGUUGGAAGUCCCCACUGGCAAUAUCAUGCUCUCUGCUCCAUCUAUGGAGAUGGAUGAGUCCAAGUGGAUCAGCACAUCCUCAGGCACAAAAUCUUUGCAUGAGCAAUGCUAAGGAUGGAGGCUGAAAGAAGAUAGAAACACCCAUCUCUGUUUGAAAGGCAGAACUUCUAGUGAAGCCAAGCAAAAUCUCAUAACCCCAGGGAAACCCUAGAGCCUCCUUGCAGCUCAGCUGACAUCCAGAUAUUUAUGGGCCGUGUAAGAAGAUUCAGGCCACUUUAUCUGCAUCCGCUUUCCUAUUUCACCGUUUCUUUGUGGCUGCUCAGCUUUGAUGGCAAUAUGCUGUUAAACUGCCACUCACUCAGCCUUUUUUUGUGUGCCUCCUUGCCUGGCUUCCAGUCAGUGGUCUUUUCCAUAUCCUAUUCCUAUUCCUCCUGCGGAACUGGGACCAUCUCAUGCUGUCCAAAUCCGAGCACUGGGCUGCUAAUAGACACCGCUGAUGUACAAUGGAAGAGCUUCUCCAUAACUCCCUAUCACUAAUCAGUGAGCAUGUUUGACAUCCCGGCAGUGCGGUGCUUCACAACAGCUAUCGAUAGUGCUUCCCCGUGCUGAAGGAAAAUGGGAACCUGCAACACUGGCAUUACAUCACAGGCAGUGGCUGGUUAUUGAUGUCAUCAUUCCUGUCACUUGCCUGAUAUAUACUGCCUGCAGUGACUUACCUCCGAUCUAUAGAGGCUGGCUCCUGGAGGUCUGCCUUCCAGUUAGCAGCGCCGGCGAGCAGCAGCACCUGUGUCUCCACGCCAGACAGCUGGCACGCUCCAUGCAUGCCACCGCGCACCAUCUGUGCCACACAUCACGUGCCAGUUACGUGACUGGGGAGAGUCAGGAGGAAGAAAAAUAUUUGCUUCCAUGAAUCCUCCUACUGAGUAAAGUUCUGUAGCAGAAGUUUUCCAGUUCCUGAGGAUGCUGCUGACUGCCUUUCCUUGCUUGCUUAAGUCUCCACAGUGCUGAAAAUGAAGUCCAAGAUGUGUGUUCUGCACGUUUGCCAUUGCAACUCGAGGAGACAGAGCUCAGAUGAAGUUCCAGCUAGGCAAGAGACCAAAGUUCACCCUACCCACAGCACUGCAGAUUGCUGCACAGCCCCAUCUUUGUGCACUGGAGAAGCAAAGCACGCGAGGAGGGAGCGCGCUCCCAGCUGCCAGGGGCUGACAACCGAAAGGUGCAAUAUGGGACAAAGCAGAGCACAGAGAGUGAUGUGGGAACGUUAACACUUGUAAGACCCUUCUUUGCAGCUCUGCUGGUUUGCCUUACAUGCUAACAGAUGUGCAGGAAUGUCCUCGGCUCGCCAUCGCUUUUCUCUCCAGCAGAAUAUGACUGACAACAGAACACCAGGGAACAGCUGGGUCGAAACGCAUAAUAUUUUCCUGCUAGAGAAGGACGCUGAUUAGGCUGCGGAGUACCUAAUUGGGUCUUGGCCUUGAAUGAUGGAAAACUAAAGCCAGGAGGAGCACACCAAUGAGCAGCACCAUGUUACCAGCAGAGGUCCGGUGGCUGGAGGAGCGGAACAUUAGCACAUCCCUAAGGCCAGGAAGUUCAUAUGAAGUUUCUGAACCUCCACUUCGGCCCUUAGGGAGAAACAGCCCGGAAAUAAGGUGAAAGUGUUCUGAAAGAAACGAGGAAAUCUCAAAAGGGAAAAAAAAAAUAGCACAUUAUAGAAAUACUGGUAAAUAAAAUAUAACCAACGAGCAGCAUGGGAAGCAGGUUUAACCCACUACACACCAGCUUUCCUGUAGUGCUAGCCAACUGAAUGCUGAAUGUAGAAUAUCAAGUAUUAUGGCUUAUAUGUAUUACUGCCAUAAAGUGUGAUACGAACAUGAAUCAAUUAAAUUAGAGGAAAAAAUAGUGCACAAAGAACAAAUGUAUGAAGUCAUUGCUCUUUGAGUCCUUUGUAAUAGCUGACCCUGAUGAAAAAUAAAAUAAAAUAACAUAAGGGCAGAGAUUCAACAAGAAAAACAACAUCAAUAUUUAAAAAGUUAGAUUUUGGAAAACUGUUGUGGCUCAAGGGGCUUUUGUUGUACAAUUCUGCAUUCGUGUGACAGAUGCAAUUGCCAGACCUUCCCUUGGUCUACAGGAAACCUGAAAGUGAUCAAUAUUUUAUUGGUACAGAUACGUAAAUUUACCUAGUGCUUUAAAACACCUCUAAGACCAAAUCCAGAGGUGCUGAGGAACUCUACUCUUAGGAGACUGAAGUAGAUGUUGUGUCUUUGGAGCUUCUUGAAACAGUGCUUUACAAAAUCAGAGCUCUUUGUUUCAGAUGCGGACAAUGGCAGUUCCAACCCAACCCAUGACCUCUGCCUUGAAACAUGGUGGGUCAGCCAGGAGGUGAGGAGGUGGGGUAAAGCAGAUGAGCUGGAUGAGGAAUACGGUGACAAACUAACUGGUGGGAAGAAGUUGCAGAACAGUGGAGAUCCCACCGCCAUUCAGCCAUGAUGGAGGACGUGUUUUCAGACACAGCCCACUCCUCCUGCCAAUUUGCUGGGGUUGCAGAAGAAAGAGGAGGAAGAGGAGAAGGAGGAGUGGCCAGUGGUGGUGGUUGCUCUGACUGCAGCAGCUGUGGAGGCCCUGCUAAUACAGUAACUUCCUUAUCUCAGGAAACCCAAGUGGCUCCAACAAGAGAAACAGAGUAGGACAAUCCAGGAGAAGACAGCUGACUGCAGUGUUUACUAGACUGCGGAAUAGACAACUUGCAUUGUUAAAAUUGAUCAGAACAUGUUCCACUGGAACUAAGCAGAUAAGAAUUACUUCAUUCUUUUUUGCCCCUGAGCACCCUAGGAGACCUGUGUUGGAUCUGGGCUUUGUCUGCUUGAAAAAGUGGAAGGGUUGACCUGCUGAAUGGAGAACCACUAAAGCGCUCCAACAUUACUAUGGUCUUAUAAUGCCUGAGACAGAUCACAAGAUUAACUCUUAUAAUCAACAACAAGAUCAUCAAUUUGUACACUAUAUAAAUUAAAGUGCAUGCAUAUAAAUCUGCAACCUUGAAUAAUACUGUAACAGCUUCUGCUUUGUUUGUUUUGUGCAGCUUCUUGCUUUGACCAUUUCUUGCUUUGACCAUGAAUAUGCCUGCUGGGUCUGGUGCAUGAAAUCCCUUCCAAGUCCUCCCUUUUGCUUCACGAUGAUGCAGAAGGUGACUCUUCAGUAAGUAACACAAAAUGAUUUUAGACUUGUAUAAAUAAUAUACACGUUCUGUCUCCCUUUGAUUGAAUGAUGAAUAGCAUUUAGAGCGAUUGAUUUGCCGGCAGGAGCACUCGGCGGUGGCUGGAACAGCUUGUUCUGCCCUUGGAUCUCCCAAAUGAGUUCCGCAUCUCCCGCAGCUUGGUCUUCUGGUGCUCCUCCAGCACUGCACAAGUGCUUGGCCUUGGCUUGGUCACCUUGCCCCAACACACCCGUGUCUCAUGUCCCUGCCUGCCCAAAACGCCUUGCACGGCAGCUCGAUCUGCUGCUUAGAUGGCACCCUCUUUAUUUUCUUUGAUAUUUAACAGAAAAUAAUUCUGCAGUGAGCUUUAUUUAAGCAGCAGGAUAGAUUAAAAAAUGAAAUAUGUUUAGCAAGAUUUGGGGGAAAGGCUGGAGUAAUUAAUUUUCAAUAAUACCUGGCAUUUCUAGAACUCCUUUCAUCCCGAGAUCACCAAACAGUUUACAGACAUUAAUUAAUUAAAGCAUUAUGAUGCCCCAGUGUGGGGCCAUUGCCUGCGUGUCUGACUCAGACAAACUCUCCCCAAAUCCCCGGACGGGCAAGCGCUGUGCACUGCGGUGUCUGCACCAGAACUAUACCCAGGAGUAAAUACUGCUCAGCUUUCCUAAGGUUUGCACUCUGUGGCCCUACGUAAAUAUUUUCCAGUGAGUUUGAUUAUUUGUCUUUUAUUCUCUAUCAGGAAAGCCCCAAAUAUCUCAGUAAUAAAAUUUCCAGCGUGUGUGUGUGCAGGAGGACAGUUCUGAUGGUUAUUUUUUUGAUUCAGCUUCACAUUAAAAUAUCUCUGUUCUUGAAACUCCCAUUGCAGGCUCAGAGCUGGACAUGUAUUUUAAGGUUUGAUUUUGGAGUGAGCUUGCUGGGCAUUUUUGACAGCACAGUAAAUUCCAUGGGAAGAGAAGAGGUGUUCAAUGUUCACCCAGAGGGAUGCGCAUAGCGUCACACUCCUGGAAAUCACCCUGAAGUACAAGUUCAGUGAAAUCUUAUGAAAGCUGUAGAUUAUACAAACUUUCAUCACUCCAAUGAUUUGAUUCAUGAACGCAUAAAUAGAUAGAUAGAUAGAUCCAUCAAGGAAAUCCCAAGGGAACAAUGCAAUGGUGUUUGUGAUUGGAAAAAUAUUAUAAAAGAGCUCACGUAGAGCCAAUAGUUAGGCAGUUUUGUAGCGCCAAGAUAAAUAGAGAAGAAAUAGCAUUUCAUGAUCACAUUUUUAAAGGAUGUUGGAAGUUACCAAAGCAGGGGAAAUCCUGUAGGGAUUGCCUAUACUCAGGUGUGUUCCCUUGUGGUUCUGCCACUGGCCGGCCACCUGUGGCCCCAGUGCUGCCCCAGGACUAUGGAAUAAUGAGAUGGCACUUCGUACAUGGGCAAUGCUCUCGUAUGAAGGGUUUGAUCUCAUCUCUCAGCCAUUCAGACACUGGAUGAUGUUCCCAUUUGCCAUAAGACCUUCCAGUUCAGCUGGGAUAUUCAGCAGCUGUCUCCUGGAUCAGUCCUGAAGGAUGCAUUUGUAACAGAAGAAUGGAAAAAAUGAACUGAUUUUUUGUUGUCCACUUUCCUCCUGGAUUGGCUAUUUUCAUAUAAACCAAAUGAAAAUUGAUAGCAGCAUGGAAGUCCCUUUCACUCCAGGUUACCAGGCUAGCAUCUAGCCAGAGGUUGGGCUGGUUAAGUCUGCCGCUUCUAAUUUUUUAUUUAUUCCAACUUUGUAUUUAUUCCAACUCAACACUGGGGUGAAAAAAAAAAAAAAGAGGCCACUCAUUGGCAGAGACAGGAAUUGGAGGAAAUGCUAGGCAAGUGCUACAGCACCUUGGUGUCCCAGCAGCUCCCACUGGGAGGGCAUCACCCAGUGUGCUCGGCAUGGAGCCACAUGGAAGUGUGUGGAUAUAGAAGUGCCCAUGUGUGCUAGGGAAGGUGCUGUUCCAAGCAGGAAGCUCCAGCGGAUGGUGGGACACUGCUGGCUUGUUGACUGUGUGGAAAGCGUAUCACUGGGGAGCACCACGACGAGGAGGUAUGAGCAAAAAUUCUUAAAUAAACACAAGUGACAUUUGGCAUAUAAAUAAGAUAGGGAAUACUCUUGCACAAGCAGCACAGGUCAACAGCUAUCUUUUAUCUCCCAGAGUAAAAUAGGUUGCUUUAGAAAUAUAAAAGCACAAAGUAGUUGUGGAAGGGGUGGUGGAAGGCCCCGGCUGGUGCUGCUGCGGGCACUGGUGCUGCCCUUGAUGGCACAACUCGGCCCCUGGCUGGGCGCCUCUGCAACUUCCCUGCUUGAUUUUUUUCCUUGCAUCUGAUUAAUGCAUAACAAGUCCCUUCAGAGAGUAAAUACUGAUCUGAAAUAGCACAGUAAACAAAUAACACGGGAACAGGCUUCGAGUGUCUAUGUACAUACGUCUAUAAAAUGCAUCGCAUACGCACGCGUGCCCACGUUGUUAUUGUGUAGGUUAGCUAAGGGGAUUUACCUCCUUUUUAAUAUUUUUGAAGACUGCUUUAUGAUCCUGUUGACCCGCUAUUAGCAAAAGCUUAGCUUUCAACAAAGGUAAUUAAAUUAUAAAAUCACUGCUGCAAUCAUCAAACUACUCAUAAAACAAGAAAUGAAAAAAAAAAAAUACCCUGAAAUAAAAAUCUUGCAGGCUUCUCCUCGUGUAAUAUUGCUCCCUGAUGUUAAUUACAUUUAAAUGGGAGAGUACUAUUUUGGUAUCAUUCAUACGCCUCCAAAAGUACUUUCCAGUUUAUCAUACCUGUCAACCCCAGUGCAUCACAGGCUAAUACUUUAUUAAGAAAAAAAUCAUUAGGGAGCUGCUGAUCCCAUUUAAGUACAUUGGGCAGAAUGUAAGACUAAUUAAAAAGCAUAUUUUUACAUUAUUAAUUUCUGAGUUUCACACUUAAUGAAUGUGAAAUGACAGGGCUACUAUUUUUAUAUUCAGGCUCUCUGGGCUCUUCAGCCAGGGGAAUUAAAUUCUGGGGAUUUUUGCAAAGAUGCUUCUUGGGAGAUUUGUUUUCAAGAACAGCUAAGCUUUUUUAGCUAUGCCUUUUUCUGGGAAAUUAUACCAAAGCAUAUUACAGCCACUUAAAAAGAGUGGUUAAAUAGAUGUUGUGUUGGGUUGUUUUUUUUUUUUUUUUUUUUCCAUCGUGCUGCUAUAAAAGUAUUUUAGAUGAGGUAUAAAAUAUGGUUUUUAAAUGAUAUUAUGAUUUGCAAACACUAAAAAAUAAUUGCGGUGGAGUUGAGAGAGAGCGAAAACAUCUAAUCUUUAUUGUGUAAGACAAUGUGAUAAAAUAUUUUACAGCCAAAAGCUCAUUUUGCAUCUGGAAAAUUGUGCAAACUGAUGGGGGGAAAAAAUCUCAUUAAAACUAAAGGUUAUUUUUAAUAUUCCUCAAACAAAGCAACGCAUUAUAACCGCAUUUCUCCUCCGCGUAUUUAUUAAAUCAGACAAUUGUACGAAUGUCUGACGCUCUAUUUAAAUAAAGACAUAAAACGGCAGAGGCCGUGUGAUCAGGCAGGCUGAGCUGGAUUUAUACCGGCUUUUAGAGACCACCGGAGUCAAAGCACAGCACCGGUGUUGGAGGGGUUUGCUUGUUUGUGCUGAGCAGUCGCAGCAUUACGGUUGUUAUUAAGCAGGAGGGGUUGCGGUAGUGGAACCUGUGCGGGGUGAGGUUGGCACUGCCGUCCCUGCAAGCACGACACAGCACAGCUCACUUUUAUAGGGCUGUGCAAGGAGGAGUGGAGAAAAGCUUUUUUCCUCCCCCCCCCCCCCCCCUUCUUUUUUUUUUUUUUCCUCUCUCCAAAUGUGCUUACAAUUACCUCUCUGUAUUUUUAUUGUCUUUUUACUAACCACAAAACUCACACUGGAGGCAAAGCUUAACGGCUGAGGCUUUCCUCAUGUAAAUAUUAGGAAAUUACAUUUGUACAAACUGCGCGGCUUUGUAAAGGGGGCUGGAGCCACUCCAACACAAAUUAAUCAGGAUAAAGUUGCUCUAUGUUCAACAUGACCAUAGUUUAUUUUCUUAAAGUAUUAAUUUGUCAACAGCUUUCCUGCCUCGCUGUGACUCAUAUGGAUGGCAUUGAGGGAAGACACAGAUGCAAUCUUGCUGCUAUACCUUGUGGCCUUAGGAAUGAGCUCUGGUUAAUCAAAACGUGAUUGUGUUUAAUUUCUCAAUAUAUGUUUCCAUACAAAAGUCGAACGGCUGAGAUAGGAAUGCAAACCAAUGUUUAAAUAUUGUCUUCCCUUAAAAAAAGAAGGAAAAAAAAGAGAAAAAAAAAAAAAAAGGAAAAGUGUGAAACUAUUUUAACUGUUUACUAAAUGCUUUGUGUUACUUUGUACUUUUAGGUCCUUCCCUCCUCUGCUGCCUCCCCCCUCAGACCCAAAUAAACAAAUAAGCGCUGCCAAGAGCUUUUCAGCUGGUGUCCUUUGCUGCCUUCCCUCCUCAGCCAUCCCCUGCGCUGAAAGCAAUGCUUUCCAGCACGUCUCUUCUCAUUCUUCUGCCUUUGCUCGCUGGUUGUUAUAUCACACUAUUUUUAAUUAUAUCUUGAUUUUCGUAACAUUAUUGUACGUUGUUAUGUUUCUAGAAUGCAAACGUGAGCGUAAUGGGAUCUAUUUUUCAGAGUUGCCAAAACAAAUUAAGGAAAACGCUCGGCUCUUCCUUUGCCAAAUGUUUUAGUGCUUUUCCGUGAAAGCAAAUCUUAUUUCUAACUGUAUAUUAAGCCUUAAGUAAAUAAUGCAGUCUGUCAGAAGCAAAUUCUAUUGUAAAAGCAGUAACUGUUCCCAGGCUUUGCCUGUGAUGCCCGCACGCUGCUCUGCCCGGGAAGGACUGGGCUAGCAAUGAAUUACUGCUCAUUUCAAUCUGCCUUUCACAGAAACGUCUAACUUUUUUGUUUACACUGGACCCAGAUCCCAUAAAUAUGGAGUAUCUGUUGCGGCCGCUCCACGUCUGCCCAGCUGACAUGGUUUGAGGUCCACUGUGAACCAAUCUGGACUUUUUUUUUACCGUCAUAUCCAUCAAAACGACCAGUAGCCAUCAACCUACUGCAGCGAUCGAUUCGUUUGCUUAUUCUCACGCAUAAGCCAAUACUCAGCUCACUAGCUGAACUCCAUGAUUUUGACUAGAGGUGACAGCUGAAAAGCACCAGAAACCCUUGGAAUUUCAGAUCUAUAUAUUACUAUAAAGGAAGAAAAUAAAGUUCCGCUAGUAGAAGACCUUGGAAGGGUGUGUGUCCUGAACAAUUUCCAUUGUGGAGAAACGCAACAAAUAACAAAGUGCAGUCAAAGCUAGCCCUGCUCCGUGAUGAAUUUCAAGGAGCGUGACCAAUAAUCUUCUACUUAUCUUAAAAACCCUAUGGAAGUACUAGACCAGUUCCAACAGAAGUGAGAGCAAACUGUGGGAAAAAAAAAAACCCUCACAAAAAAGCCAUCUGUCUGAGAACAACCCGAGAAUCCUAAGUCCACCCAAGUAGUCACUGCGUGUUUUUCUGCACUGCUAAUGGAUUGCAUAUUGUUGAAAAUAUGAAUUACAGAAUAAAUCAGGAGAGAGUGACAAUUACGGGUCCGAUUCUGUUCUUGGCUGCGGUGGCAUUAUUGACCUAAUGUUGUUUUCUGCUAUUGUGGGGCACAUUGGAUAAUUAUCCAAUUUAAGAACAACUCCAGACCGAAGGAGUAAAUGGGAGCUGUCUGAAGGCAGGGACUGCCAGAGGAGCCAGGCUGACAGUCGGUGAGGUUCAGACCACUGUAGGCUGUGGAUUUUCCCAAAGCUUUAUACGCUGCUAUUAACUCUGCCACAUAUACUCCAUGGUAUGAAAUACAUGUCUUAAAUAU